rnacentral:rRNA from 1 species
UACAGAGGCCUCGAGCGUUAGGCGGAAUCACUGGGCUUAAAGCGUGUGUAGGCGGACCCCUAAGUACCUUGUGAAAUCCCACGGCUCACCCGUGGAACGGCUGGGUAUACUGGGGUCUUGAGCCACCUAGGGCGAGUGGAACAAAUGGUGGAGCGGUGAAAUGCGUAGAUAUCAUUGGAACGCCAAUGGUGAAAACAACUCGCUGGGGUGUGCUGACGCUGGAGGAGCGAAAGCAUGGGAGCGAACAGG